rnacentral:rRNA from 1 species
AUUGAACGCCGGCGGCAGGCCUAACACAUGCAAGUCGAGCGGAUGAGAGGAGCUUGCUCCUCGGUUCAGCGGCGGACGGGUGAGUAAUGCCUAGGAAUCUGCCUAGUAGUGGGGGACGACGUUUCGAAAGGAACGCUAAUACCGCAUACGUCCUACGGGAGAAAGUGGGGGAUCUUCGGACCUCACGCUAUUAGAUGAGCCUAGGUCGGAUUAGCUAGUUGGUAGGGUAAAGGCCUACCAAGGCGACGAUCCGUAACUGGUCUGAGAGGAUGAUCAGUCACACUGGAACUGAGACACGGUCCAGACUCCUACGGGAGGCAGCAGUGGGGAAUAUUGGACAAUGGGCGAAAGCCUGAUCCAGCCAUGCCGCGUGUGUGAAGAAGGCCCUCGGGUCGUAAAGCACUUUAAGUUGGGAGGAAGGGCUUACAGCGAAUACCUGUGAGUUUUGACGUUACCGACAGAAUAAGCACCGGCUAACUUCGUGCCAGCAGCCGCAGUAAUAC